rnacentral:rRNA from 1 species
AACCUUUACACUGCACGACAGUGCGAUAGGGGGACACCGAGUGCGAGGGCAUAGGGCCCUCGCUUUUGUAGACCGUAAGGAGGUCUACGAAUAAGGGCUGGGCAAGACCGGUGCCAGCCGCCGCGGUAACACCGGCAGCCCGAGUGAUGGCCGAUAUUAUUGGGCCUAAAGCGUCCGUAGCUGGCCGCACAAGUCCGUCGGGAAAUCCACUCGCUUAACGAGUGGGCGUCCGGCGGAAACUGUGCGGCUUGGGACCGGAAGAUCCGAGGGGUACGUCCGGGGUAGGAGUGAAAUCCCGUAAUCCUGGACGGACCACCGAUGGCGAAAGCACCUCGGAAGGACGGAUCCGACAGUGAGGGACGAAAGCUAGGGUCUCGAACCGGAUUAGAUACCCGGGUAGUCCUAGCCGUAAACAAUGCCUGCUAGGUGUGGCUCCCACUACGAGUGGGUGCUGUGCCGUAGGGAAGCCGCUAAGCAGGCCGCCUGGGAAGUACGUCCGCAAGGAUGAAACUUAA